GGCGUGUACUGCUUGGCUGGGCCUUACUUCUUGGUGAGCCGGCGUGCCCUUUAUUGGUGUGCGUCGGGGAACCAGGACUUUUACCUUGAGAAAAUUAGAGUGUUCAAAGCAGGCCUAUGCCUGAAUACAUUAGCAUGGAAUAAUAGAAUAGGACGUGCGGUUCUAUUUUGUUGGUUUCUAGAGUCCCCGUAAUGAUAAAUAGGGACAGUUGGGGGCAUUGGUAUUGAGUCGCUAGAGGUGAAAUUCUUGGAUUGACUCAAGACCGACUAUUGCGAAAGCAUUUGCCAAGGAUGUUUUCAUUAAUCAAGAACGAAGGUUAGGGGAUCGAAAACGAUCAGAUACCGUUGUAGUCUUAACAGUAAACUAUGCCGACUAGGGAUCGGAUGACCUCAAAAUUGAUGUGUCAUUCGGCACCUUACGAGAAAUCAAAGUCUUUGGGUUUUGGGGGGAGUAUGGUCGCAAGGCUGAAACUUAAAGGAAUUGACGGAAGGGCACCACCAGGUGUGGAGCCUGCGGCUUAAUUUGACUCAACACGGGGAAACUCACCAGGUCCAGACAUAACUAGGAUUGACAGAUUGAUAGCUCUUUCAUGAUUUUAUGGGUGGUGGUGCAUGGCCGUUCUUAGUUGGUGGAGUGAUUUGUCUGGUUAAUUCCGAUAACGAACGAGACCUUAACCUCCUAAAUAGCCAGCCCGGCUUCGGCUGGUCUCUGGCUUCUUAGAGGGACUGUCAG
rnacentral:rRNA from 1 species